rnacentral:rRNA from 1 species
AUGUGGUUUAAUUCGAAGCAACGCGCAGAACCUACCAGCCUUUGACAUGGCGAGGACGACUUCCGGAGACGGAUUUCUUCCAGCAAUGGACCUGCACACAGGUGCUGCAUGGCUGUCGUCAGCUCGUGUCGUGAGAUGUUGGGUUAAGUCCCGCAACGAGCGCAACCCUCGCCUCUAGUUGCCAUCAUUCAGUUGGGCACUCUAGAGGGACUGCCGGUGAUAAGCCGAGAGGAAGGUGGGGAUGACGUCAAGUCCUCAUGGCCCUUACGGGCUGGGCUACACACGUGCUACAAUGGCGGUGACAGUGGGAUGCGAACCCGCGAGGGUAAGCAAAUCUCCAAAAGCCGUCUCAGUUCGGAUUGCACUCUGCAACUCGAGUGCAUGAAGUUGGAAUCGCUAGUAAUCGUGGAUCAGCAUGCCACGGUCGAAUACGUUCCCGGGCCUU